AUUGGUGAGGUGUGAAAUAUUAAGUACUUUUGUUCUUGCUAAAUUGAAAGAUUGCAUACUCUAGCUCCUAAUGGGAAGUAUUCCUGUUACAGGCCCUUACGUCUAUUUUUCUAACACUACCAUGAUCAUGCCAAGGUUUUUUUUAAAAAUUCUUUUCUUUUGUUUUGUUUUUUUGGUGUAUCUUGUCUUAUUCCUUUACCUCCAGAUGACCCGUAUCUUUGUUUAGAAUGUGCUUCUUGAAAAGAGUAUAGAGGUGCUUCUGGCUCCUCUCCAGUCUCCCAUCUCCAAAUUUAAACCAUGUUAUUAACUACUUACCUUUAGUAUGGUUUUUGGUACCAUUAGGCUUGAAUCUGGGACCUUAUUGUUUGAAUUUCUUAGUUUUAUUAGCCCCCCCCCCCGCUGGAUUUAAAAAAUGAUUAGAUUUUUCUUUGUCUUAUUGGCUUUUAGUUUAGUGGUAGUGACAGUUUAUAGUUUCUCUCUGUCUCUGUCUUUCUGUCUUUCUGUCUUUGUCUCUGUCUCUGUCUCUCUCUCUCUCUGUGUGUGUAGACUAGGCUGGCCAUGCUUAGAAUGGAACUUGCUGUCUCUGCCUCCCCAGUGUUGUGUUAACAAAUACAAACCACUUUGCUGGACUUUUUGAGUGUAGGUCAUAGGGGUUGAACUCUGGUCAUUAGGCUCGAUGGCACAAGUGCUUUUAACCUGCAGAGACAUUUCACUGGCUCCCAGACAACUUCUUUAUUACUCUUGCACAUUGCUGUCAUAUGUCUAGGUGAGCUCAUUACCAAUGGAUGACUGACGUUUGUUUGUUCAUCAUUCAACAAUAUGUAACUGCAAGUUGUAGCUGUUAGGGUCUACAUAAAAUAUUAAGGCCUAGAUGGAAUGUUAAAGCCUAGGUAAAAUGUUAAGGCCUAGGUAACAGUGACCUGGCGAGUCUGCCAUUAUACAGAAACUUUCUCUUAUGUUUCUGCUGUUACUAGGAAACUUUCUAUGCCAAGAUUGACUAUAUUUUCUGUUACGUUCUGUGCCCUUGGAAACCAAUCAUGAUAGAUGUCAGAACUGUUUUGCAUAGUUACCCACAAUAAGCUUUGACAGGAACCAACCACCCAACCCACUUCCUGCACCUAUGUAUAAGUUUUUAUGGUAUUUGUCUUUAUAAGCUGCCUCUGGGAUGAAUCCCAACAUAAGAUAGACAUGUGCACCAAUAAAAUAAAUUAUUUGGACUAAGACUUCCAGUUUGAGUAGUGACAGAGUAAAGUGAAGUGAAGACUUCUGGUUUCUUUGGAAAGUCAGUUAUGUCAAAUGAUGUUUUGCUGGGGCACACAGGUAAAAACAGACACAUGAAAGGACACAUGAUGUUUAGAAGGAAUAUAAUACAACCCAACAGGCAGUGGUGAUGCUGGGUGGUGUUGGUAUGCUUUACCAUUGUUUAUUGGUCACUGUUUGUCAUGUCUCCACCAAGAGAAACAGACCAAAAAACUUCUGGUGGUGGUCUGGCAGCUUCUUGCUGCUUCCAAGGACUCAGGCCAAUUGGCAAACUGAAGUGAAAGUUUCUGGUUAUGUCAGCUGAUACAGACUCACUUGGAGUUUUACUAAGGCAAACUCAUCAGAAGUUUUGCUGAGGCAAGACCCAUGGGAAGUAAGACCUGUGGGAGGACAUGUGAUGUUCAGAAGGAGUAUAAAUAGGACUCAAUGGAGAGAUUGCAUAGCUAGCUUUGCAGUGCUUCGUUGAUCUCGAGGCUUCAUCUUCACUUCAUUGAGAGCAUGGCAGAGAACUUUUCCUGGUGUCCCUGCUGGUCCUGAUCAAUCUUGCUGACUUGUGCUAAUUUGGUGGAGGCCUGGCUGUUUCUGCUAGGCCAUGUCACCAUUGCUACUGGUAUCCUGACAAUUAGAGAUUGAAAUAGCCGCACGGAACUACUACUAACCAGCAGGCAUCAGAACCUUGCUGCUGCUUCUGGAUCAAGCAGCCAUUGCUGAUUUGUGUGAACUGAACUGCUGAGAUCCUGGCAAUGGAAACUACUUCUAAACAGGUCCAUUUCCCCCUGGAAGGUGGGUGGUGGGCUAGAAUGGAAGUUAAAGCAUUUAGGAACCCUUAUUAAAAAUAGGGUUUGAAAAAAAAAUUAAGCUUACAGUAAGUUUAAGUUCCCAAGACCUCCGUUGGAACUGACAUUCUACUUGGUAGAAAAAGACAUGUUUGUAGGUAACUAACAUCCUGGUUAGAUGAGGCAAGUCCCCUGCCACAGUUGAAUACCCCAACCAAUAGAAACGGGAUCAAUGCACGACAAAGACAUGUUUCUAAGGGAAUUCCCUAUCCCCAAAUCCUGAUUGGUGGAAUAACAUGGCACAGAUGUUUGUGGAUUUUAGGUAUAAAAGCCCUGUAGAAUCAAAGUCGUGGUUCAGUUCGUGAAUCUGGACCAUAGCCCUGGUCAACUGGUCCUGGGGUAUAUGCUCAAUAAACUAUCCUUGUGUUACU
rnacentral:lncRNA from 1 species